rnacentral:rRNA from 1 species
GUGGGGAAUCUUAGACAAUGGGCGCAAGCCUGAUCCAGCCAUGCCGCGUGAGUGAUGAAGGCCUUAGGGUUGUAAAGCUCUUUCAGUGGGGACGAUAAUGACGGUACCCACAGAAGAAGCCCCGGCUAACUUCGUGCCAGCAGCCGCGGUAAUACGAAGGGGGCUAGCGUUGUUCGGAUUUACUGGGCGUAAAGCGCACGUAGGCGGAUCGUUAAGUCGGGGGUGAAAUCCUGGAGCUCAACUCCAGAACUGCCUUCGAUACUGGCGAUCUUGAGUCCGGAAGAGGUGAGUGGAACUCCUAGUGUAGAGGUGGAAUUCGUAGAUAUUAGGAAGAACACCAGUGGCGAAGGCGGCUCACUGGUCCGGUACUGACGCUGAGGUGCGAAAGCGUGGGGAGCAAACAGGAUUAGAAACCCUAGUAGUCC